rnacentral:rRNA from 1 species
GAUGAACGCUGGCGGCGUGCCUAAUACAAGCAAGUCGAGCGAACGGACGAGAAGCUUGCUUCUCUGAUGUUAGCGGCGGACGGGUGAGUAACACGUGGAUAACCUACCUAUAAGACUGGGAUAACUUCGGGAAACCGGAGCUAAUACCGGCUGAUAUUUUGAACCGCAUGGUUCAAAAGUGAAGGACGGUCUUGCUGUCACUUAUAGAUGGAUCCGCGCUGCAUUAGCUAGUUGGUAAGGUAACGGCUUACCAAGGCAACGAUGCAUAGCCGACCUGAGAGGGUGAUCGGCCACACUGGAACUGAGACACGGUCCAGACUCCUACGGGAGGCAGCAGUAGGGAAUCUUCCGCAAUGGGCGAAAGCCUGACGGAGCAACGCCGCGUGAGUGAUGAAGGUCUUCGGAUCGUAAAACUCUGUUAUUAGGGAAGAACAUAUGUGUAAGUAACUGUGCACAUCUUGACGGUACCUAAUCAGAAAGCCACGGCUAACUACGUG